rnacentral:rRNA from 1 species
GACGAACGCUGGCGGCGUGCUUAACACAUGCAAGUCGAACGGAAAGGCCCUGCUUUUGUGGGGUGCUCGAGUGGCGAACGGGUGAGUAACACGUGAGUAACCUGCCCUUGACUUUGGGAUAACUUCAGGAAACUGGGGCUCAUACCGGAUAGGAGCUCCUGCUGCAUGGUGGGGGUUGGAAAGUUUCGGCGGUUGGGGAUGGACUCGCGGCUUAUCAGCUUGUUGGUGGGGUUGUGGAUUACCAAGGCUUUGACGGGUAGCCGGCCUGGGAGGGUGACCGGCCACAUUGAGACUGAGGUACGGCCCAGACUCCUACGGGAGGCAGCAGUGGGGAAUAUUGCACGAUGGGCGGAACCCUGAUGCAGCAACGCCGCGUGCGGGAUGACGGCCUUCGGGUUGUAAACCGCUUUCGCCUGUAACGAAGCGUGAGUGACGGUAAUGUGUAAAGAAGCACCGGCUAACUACGUG